AGCAGUUUUACUCACAGAUGGUCGCUCUGGCAUCAGAUGGAAUUUAUAUAACAGUAAUUCUGAUUCUUUGCCAAAGAGGCAGCGAACACACCAGGGAGAUUGUAGAAGGGCCAGAAACGGAACGCCGUUCUGCCAUGGGCGAAAUCCGUCACGUCUUUUCUCGCGACUUGUGCUGAAAGAGUGCUUCGCAGCUGUUGCAACUGCUGGCGGUGACAGAGCCCCAAGACUCCGGCUCCUGGCUGGCUCCUUACAAGAUUUAAAGGGGAGAGGGUUCAGAAGGUGGCCACGCUGCACACUAGGAAGAGGCAGAGCUGCCUCCUCGCACGCCCACAGCGCUUACUUACCCUUCUGCUCCCUGUGGCAUUGCUAAACCUAUAAGGGCUUUUCUUUUGAAGUGUUUUAUUAAAUGAAGAGUCUAACAACCCUCACUUUAAUU
rnacentral:lncRNA from 1 species